rnacentral:lncRNA from 1 species
GUCCUUCAAGGUGCAGAGCCUCUAUCUUUCAGGAGCCGACAGCCCCUGGGAUCCCCCUGGGAUGUGUGAGGUGGCAGGAGAUUGUGACAGGGGCCGCAGGGGUCAGAGGGCAAAGGUGUCAGAGUCCCAGGGUGCCUCUUACACCCACCCAGGAGGACAGCCAGGGGGUUUCAGAGCUCAGGCAGGCACAGGUGUCAACGUGUCAGGAGGAGCACCAGUUUCAUAGACUAAGAAGACCCCAAGUGGGUCUCUGAGGGGCAAGCCCUCGGCAUAAAGCAGGUGGGGCUUUGCAAGCAGGAGACUUUCUAACGGGUCUUCGGGUGCAUUUGGUCAUGUUUGGUUGGCUUUGAGGGCACAGCAAGCAGUUGGGGACAUUCUGAAGAGGCUGGCUGUCCCACAUUAGGGGUGGCGGGCAUCUGUGACUGGCCAUCCAGGAACAAGUGGGGUCUGUGGGGACUUCCUUGCAGGUAAACUGUCACGUGGCCAUGACUGGCGGCUCCAUGGCUGGCAGCGUUCUGUGUAAAGUUAAGGUUUGGGAAGCAGACAACGGCCUGGUUAGACCUGUGUAGAGAUGUUCAUGGAUUCCAUCUUCUGGUGGUGUUUGCACGCUCCCCUGUAAGGAUCAGAGGGGGAUCCAGAGUUACCUCCCCACGAUGGGCAGAAGCAGGAUAGAGAAGACUUUCAAAAGCAGCCCCUUCUGUGGGAUUAGACAGGCUGGUUCCAAAAUGCACAUGGAAAUGAACGUCCAAGAAGAACAUGGUGGAAGGCUGUGCUCCACCAAGAGUGAGACCUGUUUUAAAGCCGUAAUAAUCAGGCCAGGGGAUGUCAGUGCGGGGAGAGGAAGACAGACUCAGCUCGGCGCAAGACCCACUGGUUCACAGACACAACUUGUGUCUGAAAUGGCCCUGCAGAGCGGGGGAGAAAAGUCUUUCCGAUAAAAGUGCUGGAAACUGGGAAUGCAGCUGGAAACAUAAAC